AUGGCUAGGUGCUUUUCUUUCACAAAGAAGGACUGCGCUCUCCUUGGUUUACCAGGUCGGGAUGGGGAUGGAGCUGCCUACUCUGUGUGGGAGAACAUGCCCGGCUGCUGUCUGUCUUCUGUCUAUCGUCAGAAUACACACCAGUCAACUGGGGCCGCUGGCUGGACAGUCCUUUCUUUAAAAACAACAAUGCAUGACAGUUUCGAAGUACCAUCACAUCUGUUACACUGGUGCCGAGUCCAGUCUGGUCUUCAAUGGACAUCUGUUACACUGGUGCAGAGACCAGUCUGGUCUUCAAUGGACAUCUGUUACACUGGUGCAGAGUCCAGUCUGGUCUUCAAUGGACAUCUGUUACACUGGUGCAGAGUCCAGUCUGGUCUUCAAUGGACAUCUGUUACACUGGUGCAGAGACCAGUCUGGUCUUCAAUGGACAUCUGUUACACUGGUGCAGAGUCCAGUCUGGUCUUCAAUGGACAUCUGUUACACUGGUGCCGAGUCCAGUCUGGUCUUCAAUGGACAUCUGUUACACUGUUGCCGAGUCCAGUCUGGUCUUCAAUGGACAUCUGUUACACUGGUGUCGAGACCAGUCUGGUCUUCAAUGGACAUCUGUUACACCUGUCUAGUCUUAACGUUCCUUUAGUUGACCUUCCACUCUCCGAACCCUAUAAACGUUGCAUUACACUUUUCUCCAAAUGAUCUGGUAGCAAGCAGGAGACAGGGGAGACACGGGUCUCAUGGGUGGCACAGCCCACACAAGCUAGCUAGCAACCCAAAGC
rnacentral:lncRNA from 13 species